UGGGGAAUAUUGCACAAUGGGCGCAAGCCUGAUGCAGCCAUGUCGCGUGUAUGAAGAAGGCCUUCGGGUUGUAAAGUACUUUCAGCGGGGAGGAAGGGAGUAAAGUUAAUACCUUUGCUCAUUGACGUUACCCGCAGAAGAAGCACCGGCUAACUCCGUGCCAGCAGCCGCGGUAAUACGGAGGGUGCAAGCGUUAAUCGGAAUUACUGGGCGUAAAGCGCACGCAGGCGGUUUGUUAAGUCAGAUGUGAAAUCCCCGGGCUCAACCUGGGAACUGCAUCUGAUACUGGCAAGCUUGAGUCUCGUAGAGGGGGGUAGAAUUCCAGGUGUAGCGGUGAAAUGCGUAGAGAUGUGGAGGAAUACCGGUGGCGAAGGCGGCCCCCUGGACAAAGACUGACGCUCAGGUGCGAAAGCGUGGGGAGCAAACAGG
rnacentral:rRNA from 1 species